UGGUUACUAAUUCUAAGACGCUCUUUCUAGCUGUAGUGAUAUAUUUCGUUGUUCUUAUUUAGAUUAAAAUUUAGUCUAAAGCGCAAGUCGUCCAUUUGUUUAGCUAACUCAGGUGAGGCGCUGAGGCCUAUCGAAUGAAGUAAGGCACGGAGGCCUAUUUAAUGAAUCAUGCAAGGCACGGUGACGGAGGCCUAUGAAUGAAUCACGUAAGGCACGGAG